CGAGCAGCUCCAUCUACAGAUUCACAUGGAGAAGAAUUAAGGGUUCCUGCCAAUCACCAGCACCACUUUGCCAGCCUUGUAAGUGGGCCACCUUGGAAUUGGAGCCUCCAGUUCCUACUGACAUCUGACUGCAACAUCAUGAGAGACCCUGAGUUUGAACCACCCAGCUGAGCUGCUUCUGAGCUAACCCACUGAAACCACAGUUGGCAUCUGUGUGAAGAUGUGAAUGGAGGAGGCAGAGUAGGCAGUGAGUGCCGCAGCCACAGCUUGUGUUCUCUGCAGCCCUGGCACAGAAGAUAGGAACACUCAUGGGGGAUGCGGCCACUGUGAUGUCUUCCCACACAAGAAGUGCCAAGUGCUUUUCUCAUGCUUUUCUGGAUUGUCCCAUGGUGGACGAGUCAGCAGGAGUGAGAUGGAGCAGCACAGUAGAGGGCACCUGCUCUGUUUUGUCCCAGGCCAGGAUAUCGUUGUACAUAUUCUCAGCUAAGUGAGCACCAAUAGAGGAGAGGGAGAGUCUCAUGGAAGUUCCUUCUAAGCCUUUGGCUCUUUUUACCUUCAACAAGGUGUGCCACCUCUUUGAUCCAGCAAGUGGGAAGAACAGUCCCGGCCUCUUUGCACACAAGACCGUGAUACCAAUGCACCAUCACAGGCCCCACAGGGGAGCUGUCCGCUUCCCCACACAGCUGCUAGGGGCUCUUUUGCAUGUUCCCAACCUUUCCUG
rnacentral:lncRNA from 10 species